ACGAAUGGGCGCAAGCCUGAUGCAGCCAUGCCGCGUGUAUGAAGAAGGCCUUCGGGUUGUAAAGCACUUUCAGCGGGGAGGAAGGGAGUAAAGUUAAUACCUUUGCUCAUUGACGUUACCCGCAGAAGAAGCACCGGCUAACUCCGUGCCAGCAGCCGCGGUAAUA
rnacentral:rRNA from 1 species